UACAGAGGUCCCAAGCGUUGUUCGGAUUCACUGGGCGUAAAGGGUGCGUAGGUGGCCAGGUAAGUUUGGUGUGAAAGCUCGGAGCUUAACUCCGAAAAGUCAUUGAAUACUAUCUGGCUGGAGGGUCGGAGGGGAGACUGGAAUUCUCGGUGUAGCAGUGAAAUGCGUAGAUAUCGAGAGGAACACCAGUGGCGAAGGCGAGUCUCUGGACGGACUCCUGACACUGAGGCACGAAAGCUAGGGGAGCAAACAGG
rnacentral:rRNA from 1 species